GAUGGCAGCUAGGGGCAUUAAGGUAGUACUCUACAUCGUCAUAAUGGCUGACUUCCUUUAAAAACAUGGAUGACAAAAUCGAUGUCAGCAAUAUUAGACUUUUCCUUUUCCAUUUAAAUACGUAGCUGAGUAGCUCAGUAGGUUAACACGUUGACUGCAAAAAGAAAAAAAAAAAAAAAACACGUUGACUGCUGAACUGUAGGUCGCAGGAUCGAAUCCAGCAGGGGUUUUAAUUUUUUUUCCAGAUUACCUUCUACUAAAACUGUAUUUUUUGACAAAAUAAAGUAAAUUUGAAAAUUUUCAACUUCAAAAUAUUGUUUUACAUAUCCUCCACUUUUCAUCUACAUCAAAUUUCUCCGGUGUAGCAUACCUCCUUAACACACUUUCAUAUAAUCCGAGAUUCCUCCGACUCUUACCCCUGCUUUUAUAUUCUGACAUGUGCGGGGGAGACACAUGUCACAAUAUAAAAGCGGGGUUAAGAGUCGGAGGAAUCUUGGAUUAACUUUCAUAUAUAUUGAGUUCCUAGUGAUGAUGAUUUCUUAGUAAGCGAAGCAACAGGAGUGCAACAUGUCUUUGCUGGUGCUUUUUGGUAUCAAUCAACACAAAUUGUGUCCAAUAUUUAUCACCUAACUAAUCUAUGUAAUGUUCAUCCUCUGAAUAGGUGUUUUAGUGUCUUUAUUGAAAGUAAUGGCAAAUUCCGAGCAAUGCUGAAUAAGUGCGACACACACUUAAUAUGAUGCAAAUCGUCUCUAUAAAAUUGACAAAACAGUCAAGAAAUUUCAUAUCAACGUUGCUGUGUAAGAGGGAAGGAGGCUGAAUUCCAUAUUUGCACAUUGAGUUUUUGUUUUGAUUUAAAUAUAUUCGCAGAAGUAUCACUAUCAGACAUUGUAGCACUUUUCUUCUUUUCACAUGAAACAUGAAGAGAUGUACUCCUUGGUUGUUUUUCUUGGUUGUACGGGAUAUAUUUACUCUCGCUAAAGACACAGGUAUAUACUAUUUACUAAACAUACCAGUUUGCUCAGAUUGUGUCAAUCCCUAAAGUAAAGGAUUUUUUUUUUAUCGUGUUUUCUAGAAAAAAUCUCGCUAUAGGGGAAGUGUUCCCAACAUGUUAAACCAUGUGCUCUAAUAUCUGUGGAAACGUGCGAAGUCUUUCCUAACCCCCUUGUUUCCACAGAAAUUAUUUGUGCUCAUGUUUAGAAAUUGUCUGUAGUAGCAAUGCGAAAGCUCGCUAGGCGGCGCUGUCGAACGUAAAUACUGUUAUGGCGGAAUUCUGACCUCAAUUGACAUCGCUUGUAUUACGUGGUUUUACCCUAUGAAAACGCCAGAGAUGUCCGAAUAUAUCGGCUAUUUUUAGUAGGAAAUCCUUUCUACAUGACGUAUUUGACCAAAAUUUUCCCGGGCUGUGUCAGGAAGUAAGUACAAAAUCUCACUGAACUUUUUGUCGAUGUUUUUCUUAUACUUAUAAUAGAAAUACGCAUACGUAAUGCACAUCAAAAUGUUGUUUAAUUAUGUAAGUGAACAUAUGGAAACAAAAAUGUCUUAGAAUGAAGCGUAGUAGAAGCGAAAAGACGAUUGUUCAUGCUGACAUGGAAAUUCUAAGAACGAUAACUCCACCAUUGCAUUUAACGCUGGUAUCAAAAAAUGUUUAUCAAAAACUGUUUAUAAAUGAUUGCAAGCAAUGAAGAAUUAAUUUGAAGGUGAAAUGACAAUAAUUCAUGUAAAUUCAACAAGUUAGGAUGUUUUUGUUAAUCCAAUAGUUUAUGCAAUCGUCAAUUAUUCUAUUUAAAUUUUAAUUAUGAAUUUUACUUUUUCUGUUUUAAUUUUAGUGGACGAAUAUUCUCAACUUCUUCUUUUCUUCUCAUAAAGCACCCAAUAAUUACCUGAUUAAGAUGUACAUAUAUCAUAUUUACUAUUGUAGUACUUAGUGUUCAUGAGGAUUUUUUAAGACUUUUGUAGAUAUACAUGGCAAAGUUGGGACCAUUUUUUUUUUAUAUGUGUAAGGAUCUUUGGUUACAAAAGUUACAGUGUUCUUCAUUUUUGUUUUAUUCUUGAAUAAACUCACAGGUAGUGAGUUUUUUUAUAGCAUGCUCUCAUAGAUAGUGAGUUUCCCUAGCUAAAAUCUAUAAUUUACAUCUCCAGGCAGAGAAAAUGUACACCAAACACAAGAAUGUCUCCUCCUCCCUCUUUUCUUGUUUAUUUCAAUAAUAAGAUAUAUUUAUAUCUUUUCUUAAAUUAAAAUUUUUAUAUGGAUGUAUAAUGUCAAUUCUGAGAUCUAUCUUUUUUUAAUUAUAUUAUUAUUAAAAUUCUUUAUGGAAAAUAACAAAUAUAUUUUGAAUUUAUAUUUGAUGGAAGUAGAUACAUAUAAAAUUUUCUUCCUAGCUAAAUUGCUACAAAUGAUAUCAUUAUAUAUUUUUUUCUUGCAGGUACCAUAAUUUUUCCCCAAGCAGAGUGAGAAACAUCCCUAGUUUUCUUCAUAAUUUUGGAAAAACUUGAUUGUAGGGAGAAGAUUCAAGUUCCAUGGACCGAUAUUUGUGUAGGAUUUAUUGACUGUAUUUUUCUCAAUGAGGAUCAUUAUAAAUCAUAAAUAAAUCAUUUGUAGACUGUUAA